UCUGGACCAAAACCUUCAAAAACCCCUCUUCUUCUCUCUCCUUUCUUGAUCCCGUUGCCGUUGGCCUGUUAAUUUCCCCCUCUGCUGCCGCGUGAUUUCUCCGCUAAUACUCUUCCAUGAUGGAUCCAAAGAUUGCAAGCACUAUGGCAGAUGGCUUAUUUAGAGAGAGAGAGUGGAAAGAGCUAAGCUGCAUUGAAGGGCUUUAAGCCUGGGAUAAAUUCUGCUGCUCUUGUAUGAUGUAAUUGGUCCUGUCACCUGGUUCCCCCUAUAUGAUAUUCUCGUAUGGCACAGAUAAUACCAAAAGUGGUUAAGGCAGAACUGAAAGAGGUGGCUGUUAGCCUGUUAUUUCCAAUGUUAUCAAUGCAGUGAGGUGAUGACUAGUUGAUGAAAGAAAAGUAUUUACUAAAUCUCAACUUCACACACCUCAAGAGAACUGAAAAGGAGGAUGACAUACAAAGGAGCAAGUGGAACACAUGGAAAAAUACAUUACAGGUAAUAAGCAAACCAGGAGAACAUCAACAGCAACGGUAAUGAACAGCAUAAAUCCUUCGCGGCGAUGGCUGAGAACAGACAAACAUGAACAUGACAGCAAGAAAGAGCACUAAGAGGAUCCCUAUGGGAUCAAAACUAUCAUCUUUUUGGCAGCAGAUGCACUCCGUGGCCAUUUCUGAGAAGCAGCGACCUCUCCUGAUCAACUUGAUUUCUCUUUGCUUGUUUCAGUUCCUGAGGAGAUGAAGAAUGUUCAAGGCAUAGGCAUGGUAUUUAUAACUUUAAAUCCAGUCUCAUUCUUUUCGCUGUAAGAAAAGGGGAGUGAUUUGUGACAUACCUCCCUUGAUACAUAUUUGAUAUAUGCAUUAAAAGACAAAAAUCACCCUAUAUUUUGACUUC